GACGAACGCUGGCGGCGUGCUUAACACAUGCAAGUCGAACGCUGAAGCUUGGUGCUUGCACUGGGUGGAUGAGUGGCGAACGGGUGAGUAAUACGUGAGUAACCUGCCCUUGACUCUGGGAUAAGCCUGGGAAACUGGGUCUAAUACUGGAUACGACAUGCCACUGCAUGGUUGUGUGUGGAAAGGGUUUUACUGGUUUUGGAUGGGCUCACGGCCUAUCAGCUUGUUGGUGGGGUAAUGGCCUACCAAGGCGACGACGGGUAGCCGGCCUGAGAGGGUGACCGGCCACACUGGGACUGAGACACGGCCCAGACUCCUACGGGAGGCAGCAGUGGGGAAUAUUGCACAAUGGGCGGAAGCCUGAUGCAGCGACGCCGCGUGAGGGAUGACGGCCUUCGGGUUGUAAACCUCUUUCAGCACGGAAGAAGCGAGAGUGACGGUACGUGCAGAAGAAGCGCCGGCUAACUACGUG
rnacentral:rRNA from 1 species